UGCAUUCCAAUCAUUUAAUGGAGAGACUGGACCAAUCCUGGACCUCAUCGGUCUGCGACUGCUCCUGACCGCAACCAGCAAAGAAAAUCAUGUUAAGUCCUGUCUCUCGCAGCCAAGACGACGAUUGACCAAUGAGGAUGCAGUUGUCAGGGCGUGGACUAUGGAGUGGUUGUUUUCCAGAGAUGCAAGUGAACUUGGACCGGACAUGGCGUGAAG